rnacentral:rRNA from 1 species
CUUUUUGAAGUCUUCGGAUGGAAAGAAGAACCCCUGAUGCCGUCGAGCCAAGAAAAGUUUCUAAGUUUAGCUAAUGUUGCCCGUACCGUAAACCGACACAGGUGGGUGGGAUGAGUAUUCUAAGGCGCGUGGAAGAACUCUCUUUAAGGAACUCUGCAAAAUAGCACCGUAUCUUCGGUAUAAGGUGUGCCUCCCUUUGUAUUAGGAUUUACUCCGAAAGCAAAGAAGGUUACAACAAAGAGUCCCUCCCGACUGUUUACCAAAAACACAGCACUCUGCUAACUCGUAAGAGGAUGUAUAGGGUGUGACGCCUGCCCGGUGCUCGAAGGUUAAUUGAUGGGGUUAGCAUUAGCGAAGCUCUUGAUCGAAGCCCGAGUAAACGGCGGCCGUAACUAUAACGGUCCUAAGGUAGCGAAAUUCCUUGUCGGUUAAAUACCGACCUGCAUGAAUGGCGUAACGAGAUGGGAGCUGUCUCAAAGAGGGAUCCAGUGAAAUUGUAGUGGAGGUGAAAAUUCCUCCUACCCGCGGCAAGACGGAAAGACCCCGUGGACCUUUACUACAGCUUGACACUGCUAUUUGGAUAAGAAUGUGCAGGAUAGGUGGGAGGCUUUGAGUAUAUGACGCCAGUUGUAUAUGAGCCAUUGUUGAGAUACCACUCUUUCUUAUUUGGGUAGCUAACCAGCUUGAGUUAUCCUCAAGUGGGACAAUGUCUGGUGGGUAGUUUGACUGGGGCGGUCGCCUCCCAAAUAAUAACGGAGGCUUACAAAGGUUGGCUCAUAGCGGUUGGAAAUCGCUAGUAGAGUAUAAAGGUAUAAGCCAGCUUAACUGCAAGACAUACAAGUCAAGCAGAGACGAAAGUCGGUCUUAGUGAUCCGGUGGUUCUGUGUGGAAGGGCCAUCGCUCAAAGGAUAAAAGGUACCCCGGGGAUAACAGGCUGAUCUCCCCCAAGAGCUCACAUCGACGGGGAGGUUUGGCACCUCGAUGUCGGCUCAUCGCAUCCUGGGGCUGGAGCAGGUCCCAAGGGUAUGGCUGUUCGCCAUUUAAAGCGGUACGCGAGCUGGGUUCAGAACGUCGUGAGACAGUUCGGUCCCUAUCUGCCGUGGGCGUAAGAAGAUUGAAGAGAUUUGACCCUAGUACGAGAGGACCGGGUUGAACAAACCACUGGUGUAGCUGUUGUUCUGCCAAGAGCAUCGCAGCGUAGCUAAGUUUGGAAAGGAUAAACGCUGAAAGCAUCUAAGCGUGAAGCCAACUCUAAGAUGAAUCUUCUCUAAGCUCUCUAGAAGACUACUAGUUUGAUAGGCUGGGUGUGUAAUGGAUGAAAGUCCUUUAGCUGACCAGUACUAAUAGAGCGUUUGGCUUAUCUUA